AACUGAAGCCCAGAGAGGGCAUGGAACUUGUCCAAGGUCACACAACUGGUUGGUUAGUGGCUUGAUAAGCUCAAGCUCUCCUGACUGCCCUUGUCCCUACAAGCAGCUUCCUCUCCAAGGAGUCCCCUAGGCCUGCUUAUAUGGGGCUUGAGACCUGUGCUGUGAUAAAUCUGAUUUGCUUAGGGGUGAGCUAAGGGAUUCCUCCUCCUAGACCCCCCAUCCAUAGCUACCAGGUGCUUGACAGAAUGGAAAUGUUUCACCCUCCAAAAGUACCCUGUAAAGGCCCAACCUCCAACCAGAAUGUGUGUACAGGCAUAAAGGAUUGUGGUUCUUAACCUGUUUCAGUUCUCAAGCCCGAAAGAAACUCAUGAAUGCCUUUUCUUAGCAAAAUGCAUGUAAAGAAAAUGUGGGCCGGGCGCUGUGGCUCAUGCCUGUAAUCCCAGCACUUUGGGAGGCCGAGGGGGGCGGAUGACGAGUCAAGAGAUCGAGACCAUCCUGGCCAACAUGGUGAAACCCCGACUCUACUAAAAUACAAAAAAUUAGCCCGGUGUGGUGGCGCGUACCUGUAGUCCCAGCUAUUCCUGAGGCUGAGGCAGGAGAAUCGCUUGAACCCUGGAGGCAGAGGUUGCAGCCAGCCGAUAUCGCGCCACUGCAGUCCAGCCUGGCAACAGAGCGAGACUCCAUCUCAAAGAAAAAAAAUGUGCAUACAGUAUGUUGACUUCCUUUGACAUUGACAGGAUCUUGCUGUGUUGCCCAGGCUGAAAUGCAAUGGCAUGAUCUUGGCUCACUGCAGCCUCAACCUCCCGGGCUCAAACAAUCCUCCUCGCUUAGCCUCCCAAAAAGCUGGUACUACAGCUAGUACCAGCGCAGGAGAGCCAAAUAUGUACAUCUCUUCCCAAAUCUACAUUAGUAACAUCGUAUUAGUAGCUCAAAGUUGGUCAUGGUGGGAGUAUUUACACCACAGAAAACAGAAACUACUGGAGGAUGUGGUGCACCAGAAUAAGAGAAUAAACCAAGAAACAGGAAGACGUGAUCCAGGCAACAGGGUAUUCCAGUAUAGGCAGAGAAGACAUGGCCCAAAAUGAACCAUUAUGUUUCUCCAUGGUGGCAUGUCAGGGCUGGUCAGAUUGGAGAGUGUUGGAAACAGAAGCCCAGUAGUGAAAGCUACAGCUGCCAGAUACUUGCAGUGGAAUCACAGGAGCAAUCGGAGUUCUUUAUAAAUGGCAGUAACAACUCACUUGACUUUCCUUCACCUGACACUGUCACCUAUCACAACAUUGGCCAUCAAACUGGUAGAACCACCAGUCCUCUGAUUUGGUUUCCUAGAGAAGGCAGUUGUUCAGCUCAAUGUUUUGUUAACAUCAAGGCUCUUAUUCUUGCAUUUGAAACCAAACACCUCAAUCAUUUUGCUUGCACCAGGGUUGGUACAAAGAGGCAUGGUCCUUCUUGGAAGCUGAAGUCAGAGGGCAAGGGAGCCAUUCAUGCAGUCCAUGUGGGUCAGCACCCGCUGGGGUCCACAGUGGGAUGAAGACGGGUUCUGAAAGGCAAAUGGAAGACAUCCAGUAUAACCUCUCCCUGAACAAUUUAAUUCUGGAGUGUGAGCAGGAACCAGUUAACUACAUUCAUUGUCCAACUCCCACUGGUUUGAAAGAAGACUCCAAAUUCUUGGCAUACGAAUCAGCUGUUCGGUAGCUCCACCUUAUCCCUGCAGCGAAGCAGCAGAACCGCCAACGGCGGCACCUCAGGAUUCACACUGUGGGUGGUGAGACCUUCCGCUGAAGGAGGUACUGGUGGAUGCUCUCGGCAUCUCGCUUUAGCCAAGCAGCAUUCAGCAGAAUAUUUUCACAACACUGCUGGAUGGUACGCUCAGCUGAAGGAGCUGGGUGACUCUCGAAGAAAGCCUGGUAUAAAACAACCCAGAAUGCAGGAUCAUUACUAGCAGUAAGAAGUUAAUAUUACAGGUUACGAAAAAAUACCCACUGGUCUAUAUGAAGGAUGCAUAAUCCUUCAUGAGGCAUGAGAAUUUACCACUGCCACCCUCAGGCUAAAAGAAAACAAGCAACUCCUUGCACCUGCAUAUAGGAAUUCUCCCCUUAAAUAUUAUAUGCUUAACAAACUAAUCGAAAGUUAAUAAAGAGACAGAACCUAUUGCCUUUCUUUUAGGCUAAUUGUAUAGUGGUAAAUACAGUCUUUGGACUGAAGACUUGGAACUUGAAUCUAGGCUUGGUCAUGUACUAGCUUGUGACUGUGAGAAAAUUAACUGCUGUAAGUCUCAGUUUUCUCAACUAUGAGAAAAUAUUCACUCCAGAAGAUUAAAGAGACAAUCCAUAUAAACAUUUCACAAAAUACCUAGCACAGAGUACUUAAGGAUUCAACACAUUUUGGCUGCUUCAAAUAAAGAUUAAUUUGUAAGGGA